UACGGAGGGUGCAAGCGUUGUUCGGAAUCACUGGGCGUAAAGCGCGUGUAGGCGGCCCUGUAAGUCGGAUGUGAAAUCCCUCGGCUCAACCGAGGAAGUGCAUACGAAACUGCAGGGCUUGAGUAUGGAAGAGGGUCGCGGAAUUCCCGGUGUAGAGGUGAAAUUCGUAGAUAUCGGGAGGAACAUCAGUGGCGAAGGCGGCGACCUGGGCCAAUACUGACGCUGAGGUGCGAAAGCGUGGGUAGCAAACAGG
rnacentral:rRNA from 1 species